GAUGAACGCUGGCGGCGUGCCUAAUACAUGCAAGUCGAGCGAACAGACGAGGAGCUUGCUCCUCUGACGUUAGCGGCGGACGGGUGAGUAACACGUGGAUAACCUACCUAUAAGACUGGGAUAACUUCGGGAAACCGGAGCUAAUACCGGAUAAUAUAUUGAACCGCAUGGUUCAAUAGUGAAAGACGGUUUUGCUGUCACUUAUAGAUGGAUCCGCGCCGUAUUAGCUAGUUGGUAAGGUAACGGCUUACCAAGGCAACGAUGCGUAGCCGACCUGAGAGGGUGAUCGGCCACACUGGAACUGAGACACGGUCCAGACUCCUACGGGAGGCAGCAGUAGGGAAUCUUCCGCAAUGGGCGAAAGCUUGACGGAGCAACGCCGCGUGAGUGAUGAAGGUCUUCGGAUCGUAAAACUCUGUUAUUAGGGAAGAACAAAUGUGUAGGUAACUAUGCACGUCUUGACGGUACCUAAUCAGAAAGCCACGGCUAACUACGUG
rnacentral:rRNA from 1 species